rnacentral:rRNA from 1 species
AUUGAACGCUGGCGGCAUGCUUUACACAUGCAAGUCGAACGGCAGCACGGGCUUCGGCCUGGUGGCGAGUGGCGAACGGGUGAGUAAUAUAUCGGAACGUACCCAGAAGUGGGGGAUAACGUAGCGAAAGUUACGCUAAUACCGCAUACGAUCUAUGGAUGAAAGCAGGGGACCGCAAGGCCUUGUGCUCCUGGAGCGGCCGAUAUCUGAUUAGCUAGUUGGUGAGGUAAAGGCUCACCAAGGCGACGAUCAGUAGCUGGUCUGAGAGGACGACCAGCCACACUGGAACUGAGACACGGUCCAGACUCCUACGGGAGGCAGCAGUGGGGAAUUUUGGACAAUGGGCGCAAGCCUGAUCCAGCAAUGCCGCGUGAGUGAAGAAGGCCUUCGGGUUGUAAAGCGCUUUUGUCAGGGAAGAAACGGUAGAGGCUAAUAUCCUUUGCUAAUGACGGUACCGGAAGAAUAAGCACCGGCUAACUACGU